rnacentral:rRNA from 1 species
CCUAGGGAGGCAGCAGUGGGGAAUAUUGCACAAUGGGGGAAACCCUGAUGCAGCAACGCCGCGUGAAGGAAGACGGUUUUCGGAUUGUAAACUUCUGUUCUUAGUGAAGAAUAAUGACGGUAGCUAAGGAGCAAGCCACGGCUAACUACGUGCCAGCAGCCGCGGUAAUACGUAGGUGGCGAGCGUUGUCCGGAAUUACUGGGUGUAAAGGGAGUGUAGGCGGGAAAGCAAGUCAGAAGUGAAAACUAUGGGCUUAACCCAUAGCCUGCUUUUGAAACUGUUUUUCUUGAGUGAAGUAGAGGCAAGCGGAAUUCCUGGUGUAGCGGUGAAAGGCGUAGAUAUUAGGGGGAACACCAGUGGCGAAGGCGGCUUGCUGGGCUUUUACUGACGCUGAGGCUCGAAAGCGUGGGGAGCAAACAGGAUUAGAUACCCUGGUAGUC